CCUACGCGUGGCAGCAGUGAGGAAUAUUGGUCAAUGGGCGCGAGCCUGAACCAGCCAAGUCGCGUGCGGGAAGACGGUCCUAUGGAUUGUAAACCUCUUUUGUCGGGGAGCAAAAGACGCCACGCGUGGCGUUCCGAGAGUACCUGAAGAAAAAGCAUCGGCGAACUCCGUGCCAGCAGCCGCGGUAAUACGGAGAAUGCGAGCGUUAUCCGGAUUUAUUGGGUUUACAGGGAGCGCAGGCGAGAGUUCAAGUCAGGGGUAAAUUGGGAGGGUCAACCUCAUCGAGCAGUUGAAACUGGUUUUCUUGAGUGAGUGAGAAGUAGGCGGAAUGCGUGGUGUAGCGGUGAAAUGCAUAGAUAUCACGCAGAACUCCGAUUGCGAAGGCAGCAUACCGGCGCUCAACUGACGCUCAUGCACGAAAGUGUGGGUAUCGAACAGGAUUAGAUACCCGAGUAGUC
rnacentral:rRNA from 1 species